rnacentral:rRNA from 1 species
CCUACGGGAGACAGCAGUGAGGAAUAUUGGUCAAUGGACGAGAGUCUGAACCAGCCAAGUAGCGUGAAGGAUGACUGCCCUACGAGUUGUAAACUUCUUUUAUAAAGGAAUAAAGUGAGGCACGUGUGCCCUUUUGUAUGUACUUUAUGAAUAAGGAUCGGCUAACUCCGUGCCAGCAGCCGCGGUAAUACGGAGGAUCCGAGCGUUAUCCGGAUUUAUUGGGUUUAAAGGGAGCGUAGACGGGUUGUUAAGUCAGUUGUGAAAGGUUGCGGCUCAACCGGAAAAUUGCAUUUGAUACUGGUGAUGUAGAGUGUAGAUGAGGUAGGCGGAAUGUAUGGUGUAGCGGUGAAAUGCUUAGAGAUCAUAGAGAACACCGAUUGCGAAGGCAGCUUACUAAUCUACAACUGACGUUGAGGCACGAAAGUGUGGGUAGCAAACAGGAUUAGAUACCCUAGUAGUC